CCCUUAGAUGUUCUGGGCCGCACGCGCGCUACACUGACGAUGGCAACGAGUUUUUCCUUCGCCGAAAGGUGUGGGUAAUCUUUUGAAACAUCGUCGUGCUGGGGAUAGAUCAUUGCAAUUUUUGAUCUUGAACGAGGAAUACCUUGUAAGCGCGGGUCAUCAUCCCGCGCUGAAUACGUCCCUGCCCUUUGUACACACCGCCCGUCGCUCCUACCGAUUGAGUGGUCCGGUGAGGCUUUGGGAUCUGAGCGGAAAGAGCGUUUCGCUGUUUCUGCUCGGAAAACUCAGUCGAACCUUAUCAUUUAGAGGAAGGAGAAGUCGUAACA
rnacentral:rRNA from 1 species